rnacentral:rRNA from 1 species
CUACGGGAGGCACCAGGCGCGAAACCUCUACAAUGCACGCAAGUGUGAUAGGGGGAUCCCAAGUGCUCAUGUUUUACAUGGGCUUUUGCCAAGAGUAAAAAUCUUGGCGAAUAAGGGGUGGGUAAGACUGGUGCCAGCCGCCGCGGUAACACCAGCGCCCCGAGUGGCAACCGCGUUUAUUGGGCCUAAAGCGUUCGUAGCCGGUUAAGUAAAUCUCUUGUGAAAUUGUCAAGCUCAACUUGACAACGUGCAGGAGACACUGCUUGACUAGGGACCGGGAGGAGUCAGAAGUAUUCCAAGGGGAGCGGUAAAAUGUUAUAAUCCUUGGAAGACUACCUGUGGCGAAGGCGUCUGACCAGAACGGAUCCGACGGUGAGGGACGAAAGCUAGGGGAGCAAAACGGAUUAGAUACCCGCGUAGUC